rnacentral:tRNA from 2 species
GCUCAGAUAGCUUAAUAGGUAGAGCAAAACACUGAAAAUGUUUGGGUUGUUGGUUCAAAUCCGAUUUUGGGCA